CUUCUGCUCCCUUCUUGUACGUACAUUAAAGAAGCCACACCGACACCGGACAAAGUAGAAGUCGUCAAGCAGGGGGCUUCACAUGCGGCGCAGAGCGCCCGUGAUGCUGCUCAAGUUGUCAAGGAGAAGGCAUGAAGCUUCUUUCAGUCUGCUGGCAAGCAAGUGAAGAGCGCCACGGAUGUAGCGAAGAGUACAGUUGGGACGGGGAGAGAAAAUAAGGGUAGUGCUUAUGAGAGGAAUGAUUAGAUCAAGAGUUUUCGAUUUUGAGUCCAACGCUUAAUUAGUUUUGUAAUAUAGUAACGCUGUAUGGGCUAGUUCUAUGUACUGGAAUUCCCCUCUUCCAAUUAUGAAAGGCUGACAAAGGGAAGAAGACAUUAGUGUCUCAGUUACAAUUCUAAAUAAAGUGCAAAAAAUGUACACUGAAA